rnacentral:rRNA from 1 species
UGCUUAAAGAGGGGCUUGCGGCACAUUAGUUAGUUGGUAGGGUAAAGGCCUACCAAGACUAUGAUGUGUAGCUGGACUGAGAGGUUGAACAGCCACAUUGGGACUGAGACACGGCCCAAACUCCUACGGGAGGCAGCAGUAGGGAAUUUUCGGCAAUGGAGGAAACUCUGACCGAGCAACGCCGCGUGAACGAUGAAGUAUUUCGGUAUGUAAAGUUCUUUUAUUGAAGAAGAAAAAAUAGUGGAAAAACUAUCUUGACGCUAUUCAAUGAAUAAGCCCCGGCAAACUAUGUGCCAGCAGCCGCGGUAAUACAUAGGGGGCGAGCGUUAUCCGGAAUUAUUGGGCGUAAAGGGUGCGUAGGCGGUUUAAUAAGUCUAUAGUUUAAUUUCAGUGCUUAACACUGUCCUGCUAUAGAAACUAUUAAACUGGAGUGAGAUAGAGGCAAGUGGAAUUCCAUGUGUAGCGGUAAAAUGCGUAAAUAUAUGGAGGAACACCAGAGGCGUAGGCGGCUUGCUGGGUCUUUACUGACGCUGAGGCACGAAAGCGUGGGGAGCAAACAGGAUUAGAUACCCUGGUAGUCCACGCCGUAAACGAUGAGUACUAAGUGUCGGGGUUACUCGGUACUGAAGUUAACACAUUAAGUACUCCGCCUGAGUAGUACGUACGCAAGUAUGAAACUUAAAGGAAUUGACGGGACUCCGCACAAGCGGUGGAUCAUGUUGUUUAAUUCGAAGAUACACGAAAAACCUUACCAGGUCUUGACAUACUCUGCAAAGCUAUAGCAAUAUAGUGGAGGUUAUCAGGGAUACAGGUGGUGCAUGGUUGUCGUCAGCUCGUGUCGUGAGAUGUUAGGUUAAGUCCUAAAACGAGCGCAACCCUUGUCACUAGUUGCCAGCAUGUUAUGAUGGGCACUUUAGUGAGACUGCCAAUGAAAAAUUGGAGGAAGGUGAGGAUCACGUCAAAUCAUCAUGCCCCUUAU